rnacentral:lncRNA from 1 species
GGAAUUGGAACAUAAAGCUUAUUGGGCUGUGAAAAAGUUGAACUUGGACAUGAAAUCGGCCAGUCCACAACUUGUUGCAGCUUGAUGAAUUAGAGAAAUUUCGGAAUAAUGCAUAUGAAAAUGCGAAAAUAUACAAGGAGCGGACAAAAAUGUGACAUGACAAGAGAAUCAUGAGGAGGGAAUUGGCGAGAGAACGAGUUCUUCUAUUCAACUCUCGAUUGAAAAUCUUUCCGGGCAAGCUUAAAUCCCGGUGGUCGGGACCAUUUGUAAUUCGUAAGGUACUCCCCUAUGGUGCUGUGGAGUUAGUGAACAAGGAUGGAUCUACUUUUUAGGCAAAUGGAUAACGCCUCUAGCAUUACUAUGGAGAGGAAAAUCGAGAUUUGAAAGACAUUACCCUUGGAAAACCACAUUAAAACCACAUCACGUCCAGCUAAAGAUGUAAAAGAAGCGCUUUUUGGAAGGCAACCUAAGUUCUAUACCUAAAUUCUCAUUCUUUAGUUUGACAUUUCAUUUUCUUUCGUGGUAACUUUAAUAAUUUCGCUUUCUUUUCGUUUUUUGUAGAAAUUUGCUCAAAAAAUGGUUUCAUCGACACUCUAGUCAAGUCUUUAAAAAAAAAAAAAAAAAAAACACGGUCACUCUUUCUCUUUUAUCUCCCUACCCCCAAACCGUUUUAUUCUUUUCCUCUCUCAAGUUUCUGCGCUACGGCGCCCAACCCUUGUUUUAAAAAAAAAAAAGAAAAGCACCGUCCCUCUUUCUCUUUUAUCUCCCUACCCCCAAGCCCUUUUAUUCUUUUCCUCUCUCAAAUCUCUCCCUUUCCCUCCCCACACUUGUACACACCUAAUUCUCUCAUAUUAUUCCACUUUUACACACAUUCACAUCUAUCACAAGUCAUAUCCGCUACUUUCAUUAGAAUUAAAGGGUUAUUGACUAAUUCUUCAAAGAAGGUAUGUUCUUUCAAAAUGCAAUUUUACAUCCUUUGGCUUAAUUUGAACUUCUAUUAGUAAUCUUGUUUGGGGCUACAUCACAUUCUCAUUUUUCUUUGUUGGAUUGUGCUUUGGUAAAGAUUGUGUGGGUUUUUGUUUUUAUCUUCGAAAUUGUUUUGUUGUAUGUCUACAAUGUGUG